UACGAGGGGGGCAAGCGUUGUUCGGAAUUAUUGGGCGUAAAGCGCACGUAGGCGGCUAGGUCCGUCCGAUGUGAAAGCCCCCGGCUCAACCGGGGAAUGGCAUCGGAUACAGCCUGGCUUGAGGACGGUUGGGGUGAGUGGAACUCCUGGUGGAGCGGUGAAAUGCGUAGAUAUCAGGAGGAACACCGGUGGCGAAAGCGGCUCACUGGACCGUUACUGACGCUGAGGUGCGAAAGCUAGGGGAGCAAACGGG
rnacentral:rRNA from 1 species